rnacentral:lncRNA from 1 species
CCUAGGCUAAGGCUGGUUCAACAUCAAUGCAUUGUCACUUUUUUUCCUGGCCACGCAAUGUAGCCUAUCCAUAAAAUAUGUUUUAAUGACCUGUUUGUCAGAGUGGAAGGGAAUUGAAAAUAUACUGCACAUUCUAAAACAUACACUUAUAUAUGGAACGCCGUUUGAGUCUUAAAGCACGUGGUCAAAACGCAAUCUUUUUAAUUCUACGUGUGUAAAGUAAACAGGUGCAGGCGCUAAAUUAACGCCUACAUGCGUAAAAUAAGCACAUGCAAAUGUGCUUGCAGGCGGUUCAACAAACAGUCCUGCACACGUCAAGUUAACGCCUACAGCUGCUAAAUAUACACCUACAAAUGCUAACUUAACACGUUCUUUAAUAUGCUCAUUUUACUAGCCAAUUUCCCUAGCUCCUCUUUUCAACCAGAUUUCACAGUUUGAAGAAACUUCCUUUUCCACUGCAAGCAGAGUUUGAACCUUUACAAGAAGGGAAGCAUGAAGAGGAGCUUGGAGUGGGCAAGGGGGGGGAGGCUGAUAAAGCAGCAGAGAAGACCUGAUUCAUCAAGUAUCAAUUAAUUCUGGUGAUUCUCACCUGGUUGGCAUGCAUUCGCAACAUUAAGCCCAAUAAAAUAUCCAAUGUUAAUAAAACAUGUAUCCCAAUUUACAGUCAAGCAACAUUUGUCAGUCGUGUUAAUGUUAUGAACUACAAACAAUCUAUGGUUCUUGGAGUCAAGGAAUCAAUUGAAAGUGACUACAAUUAGACAUUUUAAAACUGUGCCAGUAAAGAAAUCUGCUCUUAUGAUUCUGUUUACAUUUUUUCCCAGACACUUCUGACACUCUUGUUAAUGUUUGACGUCAGGCAAAACGUCUUCAGCAACCGUAGGACGGAGAGCCGCUGGUUGGCAUUUGACUGCAGUGUCUGUGGGUGUACCAGAAAGGAUGCUAGACGUUAGGUCCCCAUGAUAUCGAAACUUCUUACCAUCUCCACUGCAGCCCAGUCGAUAUCGAUUUUAAAAAACUGGAACAACAGAUAGUGUAGCACAAUGCACAACUCCAGUUUGCCUAUUGUCCCAACAAAUGUCAAUUAUACAUGUUUACAUACGUCAGAGUGCAUUUUAUUUUAUAGCUCUGCUUUCAACGACAUCCUGACCCACAAACUGGUUAGCAGACUCAGGGCUCUGGGUGUAAAUCCUGUAAUAACAAAUUCGAUUUUUUACAUUAUAAGAAUGUGUGUCCACAGAAUGGACCCGGCACUACCAUGGUACACAUGAGUACAUGGAGCUGUGGGACCUGACAUAAUGGUGAUAGGAAAACAGUCUCAGCGUAAACAAACAAAGUAGGUGGUGAUACUUGACCAUUUUCCCAUCUGGUGAGGAGACUAGGAUACUGGUGAGGAGAGAGGGAGGAGACUAGGAUACUGGUGAGGAGAGGGAGGAGACUAGGAUGCUGGUGAGGAGAGAGGGAGGAGACUAGGAUGCUGGUGAGGAGAGAGGGAGGAGACUAGGAUACUGGUGAGGAGAGGGAGGAGACUAGGAUGCUGGUGAGGAGAGAGGGAGGAGACUAGGAUGCUGGUGAGGAGAGAGGGAGGAGACUAGACUACUGUGCAUUGACAUGGAGAUGAUCAGCAGCUUCAAGUUCCUGGGCACCCUGAUAUCCUUUUCUGCCCUCAGUUACUUCACUCAAAGUCCCACUUGUGCUUCUCCACUACCCUCAAACUGGCUGCUCCACGACCUAUGUACCAACUACAGUGUAUUUUAUUGCCAUUACACAUGUAAAUGAAAUGUCCAUAUUUACUGUAAGAUUUAUUGGGUUGGCGCCCCCCCUUGGGUUGUGUUGUGGCGGAGAUCUUUGUGAGCUAUACUCGGCCUUGUCUCAGGAUGACCUGAGCCCUAGGACCAUGCCUCAGGACUACCUGGCAUGAUGACUCCUUGCUGUCCCCAGUCCACCUGGCCGUGCUGCUGCUCCAGUUUCAACUGUUCUGCCUGCGGCUAUGGAACCCUGACCUGUUCACCGGACGUGCUACAUGUCCCAGACCUGCUGUUAUCAACUCUCUAGAGACAGCAGGAGCGGUAGAGAUACUCUCAAUGAUCGGCUAUGAAAAGCGAACUGACAUUUACUCUUGAGGUGCUGACUUGUUGCACCCUCGACAACUACUGGGAUUAUUAUUAUUUGACCAUGCUGGUCAUUUAUGAACAUUUGAACAUCUUGGCCAUGUUCUGCUAAAAUCUCCACCCGGCACAGCCAGAAGAGGACUGGCCACCCCUCAUAGCCUGGUUCCUCUCUAGGUUUCUUCCUAGGUUUUGGCCUUUCUAGGGAGUUUUUCCGAGCCACCGUGCUUCUACACCUGCAUUGCUUGCUGUUUGGGGUUUUAGGCUGGGUUUCUGUACAGCACUUUGAGAUAUCAGCUCAUGUAAGAAGGGCUAUAUAAAUAAAUUUGAUUUAUUUAUUGUAACAUUGCACAUAUUGUAACAGUCCCUUGACUAACAUGACUUAACUACUUUGCAUAAUGCUCAGUUUACCCACUAAGAAAUCAUACAUUUAUUAGAGCUGCAUUAUCUAUUAUUGUGUCCAAUUGAUUCUGGUUGGUUGUAAUGUUUUUGAAAACUUUCACUACACAACUUUUAUUGCUGAUAGACAAUCCUGUUGGAAACUUUCAUAAUAUCAAUUAUUUUGGGACACAUCAAUUAACAUUGGCUGCAGUAUUCCGAACUUACUAGGUAGUCAUGCAAUAAACGUUUUGGAUAAUUCCCCUUAAAUUAAUUCUUCAAAUCAAACUGUAUUUGUCACAUGUGCCAAAUACAACAG